AUUGAACGCUGGCGGCAGGCCUAACACAUGCAAGUCGAGCGGUAGCACAGAGAGCUUGCUCUCGGGUGACGAGCGGCGGACGGGUGAGUAAUGUCUGGGAAACUGCCUGAUGGAGGGGGAUAACUACUGGAAACGGUAGCUAAUACCGCAUAAUGUCGCAAGACCAAAGUGGGGGACCUUCGGGCCUCAUGCCAUCAGAUGUGCCCAGAUGGGAUUAGCUAGUAGGUGGGGUAACGGCUCACCUAGGCGACGAUCCCUAGCUGGUCUGAGAGGAUGACCAGCCAGACUGGAACUGAGACACGGUCCAGACUCCGACGGGAGACAGCAGUGGAGAAUAUUGCACAAUGGGCGCAAGCCUGAUGCAGCCAUGCCGCGUGUGUGAAGAAGGCCUUCGGGUUGUAAAGCACUUUCAGCGGGGAGGAAGGCGUUAAGGUUAAUAACCUUGGCGAUUGACGUUACCCGCAGAAGAAGCACCGGCUAACUCCGUGCCAGCCGCCGCCGUAA
rnacentral:rRNA from 1 species